rnacentral:lncRNA from 1 species
AGUCCUUCGCCGUCCCUCGCCGUCCUUCGCCAUCGCACGCCACCGCACCCCAUCUCUCGAAAUCUGCAGACAUCUUGAUUUUUCCCACGCUGUCUGUCAGGUCUCCGCCGCCACUCGACGCCAGGGCGCCGGGUGAGUCCACAGCAGGGCGCAUGGUCGGCUCCACUCUCACCAUCGGGGGAAACUGAGGCCCCGGGGAAGGCGGCCAGAGAGGUCAGGCCCUGUCCUUGGUGCAGUGUCUCGUCCUCUUUGCCGGAGUGAGCCCCCCAGGAUUCGCGUGUCCUCGGGAAAGACACUGGCAGGCCUUGUGGGCUGUGCUGCACCUCGGACGGCUUCGCACCAGCCAGCGCCCUCUCUCUCCUGCAGCACUCUGAUCUGCACCCCCUGAGGGGCUUCCACUGUCCGCGGGGUGAGAAUGCCCCUGGGAGUGUCACAUGACUGCCGCCCCAUGUGUGUGAGAGGCGUCCUCUGGGAGAGCAUGGAUCCUGAGGUCCCAGGGAGUGGUAAGUGAUCUCUGGGAGUCAGAAGCAGCAUCUGUAAUCUUAGGCUGUAAGUCUGCUCAUUGCCCUGUCAGCUGUUCUGUUCCAGGAUUGUCAGCUGACCUCUGUCCUGUGUGCCCAGUGGCCCCAGGUGACGUGUCUUCAAGAAGAGGCUGAGCUGCGGUGCUUGUAAGAGUCAUGUGCUGUUCCUGGGGCUUGGAUGAUGUAGGGGAAGCAAGGUGAAAGUGGUAUCCCGUGGUUCCACGUUCUGUCCUGCUGUGGGGCUGUCCCUCACAUGCUUUCAGUGGCUGUUGCAGAGGAAGAGCCUCCGGAAAUCUGCGUGGGUAAAGUCUCAGCCUUAGAUCCAAGGACAGUCCAAGGAAGUCCUAAGACCAUGGAGUUGGUGAUCUGGGAUCUGGGUUUGCUGAUAUUUCUCACCGUGAAUCUCUUGGUGGUGUUUGUGGGCACGAGAGGGGCAGAGAAUGGAGAGUGAGGCUACCACAUGAAGCGUCACCAGAGCUGCUCCCUGCUGCCUGCUCAGAGCACCCCGGAUCCACUGUUCAAUCUGCACAAGAUUCGGGGUCCAGACAUGGGAGACUUCAGCUGCCUCAGAGGACCGUGGACAGGGAAGGCCAGCCUCGCAUCCCUCUGUCCAUGCCUGGAAUGACUUUAAUAACCAAGAGUUUUAUUUUUGAAUUUGUAGCUGUCGUUCACUUUUUACCCACCCAUUCAAUAAACCUUACAGAAUUGCUCCA